rnacentral:rRNA from 1 species
UACAGAGACUGCAAGCGUUAUUCGGAUUCACUGGGCGUAAAGGGUGCGCAGGCGGCCAAGUGUGUGAGGCGUGAAAGCCCGAAGCUUAACUUCGGAAUUGCACCUCAAACUACAUGGCUAGAGCAUUGGAGAGGGUAACGGAAUUCACGGUGUAGCAGUGAAAUGCGUAGAUAUCGUGAGGAACACCAGAGGCGAAGGCGGCUACCUGGACAAUUGCUGACGCUCAGGCACGAAAGCGUGGGGAGCAAAAGGG